UUCACAUACGUUUAAUCAGUUAUAAUGGACAGGUUUUAAAAACGUAAAAAAAAAAAAAAAAAAAAAAAAAAAGCGCCUGGGAACAUUUCAAACCAAAAAAAAAAAAAGUACUACUAAAAAGAGAGGUUUGAAAGCAAAACCAAGAAUUGUUAAAAACAGGACAAUCUGAAAGAAAGCCGUACUUGGCACAGGAUUUAUAGUACGUAUUUUUCUCAUUAAAAUCCCAUAAGGCGGAGAACACCAGAGUGGUUUUAGUUCUGGAUUCUAGAAUCUUGAUUUGGAGGCAUAAAUUAUUUCAUAAUCAUCUGCUUUUGAAACAGGUACAAUAGUACGAGGCCCCCCCCCCCCCAAAAGUUUCUCUCCCCUCCUAGGACAGACUCCAUCUCCAAGUGCUGGCUUUACAAGCUACGACCGGGUCGGAAAGCGUCUUCACCACCGAUGCCUCCCUUGCUCCAGAAAAUUCAACCAAAUAGUAAGUCUUUGUCCAGAGACGGAUGUACAAACGACUGCUGUCCGAGACCAAUUUUCAUAGAGGGGUACCAGAUCUGUCCCAGCUAACACCUCACAGAUAACAAAAAAAUAUUUUCUUUGCGCAAUAUUUAGCACACCGCUGUGACAGACAUCAAGAUUUCCAAUACGGCAAAAGGAAAGAGGUCAGAUACCUCGUAAGAAAGUUUGGUUCACAAUGGGCAGCACGGUCAGGGGUUAGCACUAGGGAGCUGCGUUUGUAUGUCCAUCCCACGUCUGUGUGGGUUCCUCCAGGUUCUCCGAUUUCAUUUCGCACUCCAAAAACCUACCAAGAGGUAAACUGGCUUCUUAUGAAAUUGACCCUAGUAGGAGUUAGGGAUGGGCACCUACAUGGCAGCCACAGACUCCCCUGCUCCACAACCAUCCCUGCACCGUCAGUCCAUUGUAGGAGAAAAGGGCAUCACAAAAGUUUGUUGUAACACAUUUCAGAGUUUAUUUUACGCCUUAAAUUCACUGCCCUGGCAAUGUUAGAGUCCAGAAGGAGAAGCCUGGCGUUCUACAGCCAACCAUUUCUUUACCAAGAGAUUAAAAAGGUCCUCUUCGCACGUUUUGGCACACGACCAAAAGGUGUUUUUUUUUCAUCAGUCUGAGACGGUGUUUAAGUAACAGUUUUUAGCUUUUUUUUUUUACCUGACAUUACAGCCAGGUGAUAGGUAUGCAAUGGACUGCAUAUUUUUGCAGAUCGCACACUGACCCAUUCAUUUCUAUGGGGCAUGCACACAUCCGGAUGUUUUGCAGAUUGGUGUGGCCGCUCCAGAAAUUCUAGAUAAUGUCCUAUUCUUGUCCGUAUUGCCGAUGAGAACAGUUGUCCGUACUUUGCAGAUCCGUUAUAUGUGGACUGGAAAAUUGACAUGACCGCAUGCAGGAAACCUUAAAAGGGAGUCGGCUACCAUCAAAUUCACUCCAAACCAGGCACAAUGCUUUGUAGGGCUAACUCAGCAGAAUGUAAUGAUACCUUUCACUUAGCAAUCAGUUGCUUUAUUCUGGUGAAAAAGAAAUUUUAAUCCAUGUGCAAAUGAGCAGUUAGGUGCACUGAGGGCGGACCCAAGCCACUCUGUGCACCUUUGCUCCUCCUGCUUCCUCUGCCAGCUCCUCCCUCUCCUUCUUGAUUGGUAGGACCAGGUAAGAGGACUAUGCAAGGUCAAUCAAAAGGAGGGAGAGGCCAGCAGAGGAAGCAGAACUGUUAUGUUGUGUCUUUGUAAAUCGUAUAGGGUUUUAGAGAGAUGACAAUUCCAUCCUCUCUGUUUUGUACGUAUAAGUACUGACAAAAAAAAAAAAAGUUGACUUUCAUUGAGAGGCAAGGGUGCACAGAGUGCUUUGGUCCGCCCCCGGUGCACUUAACUGCUCAUUUGCUUAUGGAUAAAAAAUACUUUUUAGCUUGAAUAAGUGUGCGGCUACACGGCACCAUAUGUCGCAUGACUUGCAGAUCACGCACUUCAAAAACAUGGUGACUUGUCUGCAACUUGCUGUCAUGCGACAAUUUUAGAAAUGUGGCUUUGCUGUAAGAAUAUAGACAUGUCGCAGGCAAUUCACGUCUCAAGGAUGAGCAGUCGAGCACGGCAAGCGACACAAAAUGGGUUUUCUGCGACUCUGGCGCAGCUGUCGCUUAGCGACACCACUGACAAUUAUAUGAAAUGUCGCAUGACGCAACGGAUCGCUAAGUGAAAAGUAUCCCUACAAAACACUGGGGAAGAUAUAAGUAAGCCAGGCCUAUUUUGCGCCAGAAUAUUGUGCCUGCUCCAGUUUCUAGACGAUUGGGUUGUUAAAUGUAUCUAAAUCUGUGAGCCAGUACUGGAAAGGGAAGGGAAGAUGCAACACAAUGCUCCACAGGGCUUCAUGCUACCAGAAUGUUACACCACUUUUUAUACCACCUUGGAGUGGAUAUAGUUUCUGUUCAAACCAUGCACCAAAAACCUAAGACUGCAACAAAACACGGAGAAAAUAGGCGCAAAUAAAAAAA